AUACGGAGGGUGCGAGCGUUGUUCGGAAUUAUUGGGCGUAAAGAGCAUGUAGGCGGUCUGUUAAGUCUGGUGUGAAAGCCCGGGGCUCAACCCCGGACGUGCAUUGGAUACUGGCAGACUUGAGUAUGGGAGAGGAAAGCGGAAUUCCGAGUGUAGGAGUGAAAUCCGUAGAUAUUCGGAGGAACACCAGUGGCGAAGGCGGCUUUCUGGACCAAUACUGACGCUGAGAUGCGAAAGCGUGGGGAGCAAACAGGAUUAGAAACCCCGGUAGUCC
rnacentral:rRNA from 1 species